rnacentral:rRNA from 1 species
UUACAAUUGCAAGUCGAGCGGAAAGGCCCUUCGGGGUACUCGAGCGGCGAACGGGUGAGUAACACGUGAGCAACCUGCCCCAGGCUUUGGGAUAACCCCGGGAAACCGGGGCUAAUACCGAAUAUGACCUUGCACCGCAUGGUGUUUGGUGGAAAGUUUUUCGGCUUGGGAUGGGCUCGCGGCCUAUCAGCUUGUUGGUGGGGUGAUGGCCUACCAAGGCGACGACGGGUAGCCGGCCUGAGAGGGCGACCGGCCACACUGGGACUGAGACACGGCCCAGACUCCUACGGGAGGCAGCAGUGGGGAAUAUUGCACAAUGGGCGGAAGCCUGAUGCAGCGACGCCGCGUGAGGGAUGACGGCCUUCGGGUUGUAAACCUCUUUCAGCAGGGACGAAGCGUAAGUGACGGUACCUGCAGAAGAAGCGCCGGCCAACUACGUGCCAGCAGCCGCGGUAAGACGUAGGGCGCGAGCGUUGUCCGGAUUUAUUGGGCGUAAAGAGCUCGUAGGCGGCUUGUCGCGUCGACCGUGAAAACCUGGGGCUCAACCCCAGGCCUGCGGUCGAUACGGGCAGGCUAGAGUUCGGUAGGGGAGACUGGAAUUCCUGGUGUAGCGGUGAAAUGCGCAGAUAUCAGGAGGAACACCGGUGGCGAAGGCGGGUCUCUGGGCCGAUACUGACGCUGAGGAGCGAAAGCGUGGGGAGCGAACAGGAUUAGAUACCCUGGUAGUCCACGCUGUAAACGUUGGGCGCUAGGUGUGGGGGGCCUCUCCGGUUCCCUGUGCCGCAGCUAACGCAUUAAGCG